rnacentral:rRNA from 1 species
AAUGAACGCUGGCGGCGCGCCUAAUACAUGCAAGUCGAGCGAGAAGACGUAGCAAUACGUUUGUAAAGCGGCGAACGGGUGAGGAAUACAUGGGUAACCUACCCUCGAGUGGGGAAGUAACUAGCCGAAGGUUAGCUAAUACCGCGUACGCUUCUUGGACUUCGGUUCAGGGAGGAAAGCGAUGCCGAGGGUAUCGCGCUCUUGGAUGGGCUCAUGUCCUAUCAGCUUGUUGGGAGGUAACGGCUCACCAAGGCUUCGACGGGUAGCUGGUCUGAGAGGACGAUCAGCCACACUGGCACUGCGACACGGGCCAGACUCCUACGGGAGGCAGCAGUAAGGAAUAUUGCGCAAUGGGCGAAAGCCUGACGCAGCGACGCCGCGUGGGGGAGU